UUUUUACACCUCUAGAGCAGGGUUUUUCUCCCUAUUCCCUUUUCCGGGCACCUACUACUGUAACAUGAACCUCUCCG
rnacentral:tRNA from 1 species